CCGAUGAAGAUAAACUGAACGCAAGUAACCGGCAGUUAUUAGCAGUUGUUGUCACUUCUAAAUCAUCUCAAUCGAACAGUGAAAUCCAUGUCCUGGAUAUUGGUGGGAUAAAGGAUCAAGUUACAAACAAGUUUAUCCUCAAGCUAAACCACACCGUGUCAGACGUGUGCACAGCCAAGGUAAACGGUCAGUGGCAGGUAGUGACGCUGGCGCGAGAGACCGCACACCGCUACGCCUGGGACGACGCGAG
rnacentral:lncRNA from 1 species